CCUACGGGGGGCAGCAGUGGGGAAUAUUGCACAAUGGGCGCAAGCCUGAUGCAGCCAUGCCGCGUGUGUGAAGAAGGCCUUCGGGUUGUAAAGCACUUUCAGCGGGGAGGAAGGCGUUAAGGUUAAUAACCUUGGCGAUUGACGUUACCCGCAGAAGAAGCACCGGCUAACUCCGUGCCAGCAGCCGCGGUAAUACGGAGGGUGCAAGCGUUAAUCGGAAUUACUGGGCGUAAAGCACACGCAGGCGGUCUGUCAAGUCGGAUGUGAAAUCCCCGGGCUCAACCUGGGAACUGCAUUCGAAACUGGCAGGCUAGAGUCUUGUAGAGGGGGGUAGAAUUCCAGGUGUAGCGGUGAAAUGCGUAGAGAUCUGGAGGAAUACCGGUGGCGAAGGCGGCCCCCUGGACAAAGACUGACGCUCAGGUGCGAAAGCGUGGGGAGCAAACAGGAUUAGAUACCCCUGUAGUC
rnacentral:rRNA from 1 species